rnacentral:rRNA from 1 species
GACGAACCGUGCGAACGUUGUUCGGAAUCACUGGGCUUAAAGGGCGCGUAGGCGGGCUGUCCAGUCUGGGGUGAAAUCCCGCGGCUCAACCGUGGAACUGCCUCAGAUACUGACGGCCUCGAGGGAGAUAGGGGCAUGCGGAACUGUAGGUGGAGCGGUGAAAUGCGUUGAUAUCUACAGGAGCUCCGGUGGCGAAGGCGGCGUGCUGGAUCUCUUCUGACGCUGAGGCGCGAAAGCUAGGGGAGCAAACGGG